rnacentral:rRNA from 1 species
AACGAACGCUGGCGGCAUGCCUAACACAUGCAAGUCGAACGAGACCUUCGGGUCUAGUGGCGCACGGGUGCGUAACGCGUGGGAACCUGCCCUUAGGUUCGGAAUAACUCCCCGAAAGGGGUGCUAAUACCGGAUAAUGUCUUCGGACCAAAGAUUUCUCGCCUUUGGCUGGGCCCGCGUUGGAUUCGCGGGUUGGUAGGGUAAAAGCCUCCCAAGGCGACGAUCCAUAGCUGGUCGGGGAGCAUGAUCAGCCGGACUGGAAAUGAGGCACGGCCGAGAAUGCUAGGGGACGCAGCGGUGGGGAAGAUUAGGCGCGGAGCGAUAGUCUAAUCAAGCAGUGCCGCGGAAGAGAGGAAGGGCGUAGGGAAGUAAAGCUCCUUUUGACGAAAUGAUAGUGACAGUACUGGGAGAAGAAGCUCCGGCUAACUACGUG